GCGGGAGUGGCGGAAUUGGCAGACGCGCUGGACUUAGGAUCCAGUGGGCAACCGUGGGGGUUCAAGUCCCUUCUCCCGCACCA
rnacentral:tRNA from 1 species